AAAAUUAUUUGGUAUUUUAAUUUUUUUAAAAAAUAUAUUUAGAUAGUGUUCAAAAAAAAAAAAAUCUAUCUUAUACCAGGAUACUGCUUUGCGGCCUUUGGUUUUGAAUGCUUGUUACUCGGAGUGGCACUCUCUUUGGAAGGAAAAAUUUUAGAAUGCAACGGGUAUAUUAGCGAUGUGGCGUAACAAAUUUUAAAUGUCUUCUUUUAAAAGUAUAUGUCCCAUCAUGCUUAUAAAAAAAAUAUUUUUAUUGUAUUUUUGUUUGAAAAAAACAAUAUAAUUAAUUUAUUAUUGAUAACGUUGUGUAACUGUGAUAGUGUAG
rnacentral:lncRNA from 1 species